rnacentral:piRNA from 1 species
UGGAAGUGUGGAGUGACUUUUUGCCUGGC